rnacentral:tRNA from 1 species
UCGGAUAUGGUGUAACGGUCAACAUUGCCGCCUCUCAUGAGCUCGCGGCAGCUCGGGGUUCGAUUCCCCGUAUCCGAA